rnacentral:tRNA from 1 species
GGGCCCUUAGCUCAGUUGGUUAGAGUAGAUGACUCAUAAUCAUUUGGUCCGGGGUUCGAGCCCCCGAGGGCCCACUA